UGUACUUGUACUACCCAAAAAGAAAAAAGAAUUAAUACUCCUUCAAACAAUUGCUGGUGAUCCUUCCACAUAUAUAUAUAUAUGUGUACAUCUUCCUCAUUCAGAUCCCUAUCUUUAGGUUGCUACCUUCAAUAGAACCUGCAACACAUAUAUAAAUUAGUCCCAACACCAACUUUCAUUGCUGCAACUUUUAACAGAACAUUAUUAAAAGCCAUAUAAGGUAAGGAAGAGUUGUUUGUUGUCUGGUAAUAAGAGGAAAAGUGUAGUAAAAAAUGAAAUUUCCUCUUAAAAGUCAUGAAGAGAAAGUAGGGUCGUUUUCAUUCGUAACUAAAACCCAUUUUCUGCCUUAAUAAGCUUGACUCUUCUAUCUAUCUACCUGUGAAUGGCUGAGGUGGAAAGGAAAUCUGAUGGUCAAAUGUUAUAUUAUUGUAAACAUUCUGCAACUCAACGUCCCAUGUGGAA
rnacentral:lncRNA from 1 species